GAUGAACGCUAGCGAUAGGCCUAACACAUGCAAGUCGAGGGGCAGCACAUGAAGUAGCAAUACGGAUGGUGGCGACCGGCGCACGGGUGAGUAACGCGUAUGCAACCUGCCUACAACAGGGGAAUAACCCGUUGAAAGACGGACUAAUACCCCAUAACACAGGGAUCCCGCAUGGGAAUAUUUGUUAAAGAUUUAUCGGUUGUAGAUGGGCAUGCGUUCCAUUAGCUGGUUGGUGAGGUAACGGCUCACCAAGGCAACGAUGGAUAGGGGAACUGAGAGGUUUAUCCCCCACACUGGUACUGAGACACGGACCAGACUCCUACGGGAGGCAGCAGUGAGGAAUAUUGGUCAAUGGACGCAAGUCUGAACCAGCCACGUCGCGUGAAGGAAGACGGCCCUACGGGUUGUAAACUUCUUUUGUAAGGGAAUAAAGUGCAGUACGUGUACUGUUUUGCAUGUACCUUACGAAUAAGGAUCGGCUAACUCCGUGCCAGCAGCCGCGGUAAUACGGAGGAUCCGAGCGUUAUCCGGAUUUAUUGGGUUUAAAGGGUGCGCAGGCGGGAGAUUAAGUCGGCGGUGAAAUUUUGCAGCUCAACUGUAAAAGUGCCUUCGAAACUGGUUUUCUUGAGUGUGGAUGAAGUAGGCGGAAUUUGUGGUGUAGCGGUGAAAUGCAUAGAUAUCACGAGGAACUCCGAUUGCGCAGGCAGCUUACUAAACCAUAACUGACGCUCAGGCACGAAGGCGUGGGGAUCAAACA
rnacentral:rRNA from 1 species